rnacentral:misc_RNA from 1 species
AAAAAAAAAAAAAUGUGAUGAGAUGCAAUGGAUUUUCAUCAACCACUGAUCUUUAUGUAAUUUGCAUUGGUUUCUAAAAACAAAAAAAGUACUACAACGAGGUCGUGGCUCAUUCAGCAACAGUACCUGUGCCACUACUUCUAGCUUUGCUCUUGCGGUUCCAUAUUGGAGUAGUCUCAAUGAGCUUGUGAGGGACAAGACGUCUUUCACGUUUAGUUAGCUUUUUGAAGUUGUGUACUCUCAACUUAGCUAUCUCGGCCUCCUCUGCCGGUGUUAUCUCCCUAAGAACCACUGUCAAUCUACAUUCUGGCCUCACCAUCAUU